GACGAACCGUACAAACGUUACUCGGAAUUACUGGGCUUAAAGGGUGCGUAGGCUGUGCGGAAAGUUGGGUGUGAAAGCCCUCAGCUCAACUGAGGAAUUGCACUCAAAACUACCGCGCUCGAGGGAGACAGAGGUAAGCGGAACUCAAGGUGUAGCGGUGAAAUGCGUUGAUAUCUUGAGGAACACCGGUGGCGAAGGCGGCUUACUGGGUCUCUACUGACGCUGAGGCACGAAAGCUGAGGUAGCAAACGGGAUUAGAUACCCCGGUAGUCUUAGCUGUAAACGGUGAGCACUUGUUGGAGGGGUCCUCCAUAGCUUUUCAGACGUAGCAAAAGUGUUAAGUGCUCCGCCUGGGGAGUAUGGUCGCAAGGCUG
rnacentral:rRNA from 1 species